UGGGUGAUCUGCCCUGCACUUUGGGAUAAGCCUGGGAAACUGGGUCUAAUACCGAAUACACCUUGCUGGCUGCAUGGCCUGGUGGGGGAAAGCUUUUGCGGUGUGGGAUGGGCCCGCGGCCUAUCAGCUUGUUGGUGUGGGUAAUGGCCCACCAAGGCGACGACGGGUAGCCGGCCUGAGAGGGUGACCGGCCACACUGGGACUGAGACACGGCCCAGACCUCCGUACGGGAGCA
rnacentral:rRNA from 1 species